rnacentral:rRNA from 1 species
UGCUACAGCCAUGCCACUGUGAACACACUCGAUCCUAUCAGAUCUCGGAAGCUAAGCAGAGUUGGGCUUGGUUAGUACUUGGAUGGGAGACCACCUAGGAAGACCAAGUGCUAUAGGUG